rnacentral:rRNA from 1 species
GUCGAACGAGUUCUCGUUGAUGAUCGGUGCUUGCACCGAGAUUCAACAUGGAACGAGUGGCGGACGGGUGAGUAACACGUGGGUAACCUGCCCUUAAGUGGGGGAUAACAUUUGGAAACAGAUGCUAAUACCGCAUAGAUCCAAGAACCGCAUGGUUCUUGGCUGAAAGAUGGCGUAAGCUAUCGCUUUUGGAUGGACCCGCGGCGUAUUAGCUAGUUGGUGAGGUAAUGGCUCACCAAGGCGAUGAUACGUAGCCGAACUGAGAGGUUGAUCGGCCACAUUGGGACUGAGACACGGCCCAAACUCCUACGGGAGGCAGCAGUAGGGAAUCUUCCACAAUGGACGCAAGUCUGAUGGAGCAACGCCGCGUGAGUGAAGAAGGCUUUCGGGUCGUAAAACUCUGUUGUUGGAGAAGAAUGGUCGGCAGAGUAACUGUUGUCGGCGUGACGGUAUCCAACCAGAAAGCCACGGCUAACUACGUGCCAGCAGCCGCGGUAAUACGUAGGUGGCAAGCGUUAUCCGGAUUUAUUGGGCGUAAAGCGAGCGCAGGCGGUUUUUUAAGUCUGAUGUGAAAGCCCUCGGCUUAACCGAGGAAGCGCAUCGGAAACUGGGAAACUUGAGUGCAGAAGAGGACAGUGGAACUCCAUGUGUAGCGGUGAAAUGCGUAGAUAUAUGGAAGAACACCAGUGGCGAAGGCGGCUGUCUGGUCUGUAACUGACGCUGAGGCUCGAAAGCAUGGGUAGCGAACAGGAUUAGAUACCCUGGUAGUCCAUGCCGUAAACGAUGAAUGCUAGGUGUUGGAGGGUUUCCGCCCUUCAGUGCCGCAGCUAACGCAUUAAGCAUUCCGCCUGGGGAGUACGACCGCAAGGUUGAAACUCAAAGGAAUUGACGGGGGCCCGCACAAGCGGUGGAGCAUGUGGUUUAAUUCGAAGCAACGCGAAGAACCUUACCAGGUCUUGACAUCUUUUGAUCACCUGAGAGAUCAGGUUUCCCCUUCGGGGGCAAAAUGACA